UCUGAAGCUUCCAUGAGCAGCCCAUGGUAUGAUAAUAAAACAAGGUUGCCAUUUUGUUGAGAUUUGUUAGUCCAGUAAGCAAACUUCAGUUUGGGUCUGCACCAUGAUUUCUAAAAGUGAGUUUUAAGAUAUAUUUGAUGUGGACUGCUUCAUAGCAUCAUUGAGAGGACGUUUGAAUGCGGAAAGAGUUGACUCCAUUCUGCCCGUCAGUUGAAGGAGCACGGGUGCCCGGGACGACGACAACGACAAGCCAAAGGAGACACCGUGGAUUCGUUGCCCGCUUCCGCUGCUGCUCGUGCAGACUCUGCACCAACCCGGCCUUGAACUACCCCAUCUUAUAUACACAACGCCCCCAAUUUUUAGCCACCAAGGCCAUGGACUGGGACCUGUGUGUUCAUUUGAAGUGUUGGUUUGAGAGAUUUUUGUGCCCUGACAAUGAGUGAGGCACUUGUGAUAUUGCAAGUCCUGAUACAAGGCAUGUCCUCUUUUAUCCAUAAACUUUGCAAUGUCCAUCUAUUGUACU